CAAGGCGUAGCUAAGCCAGUUACAGCACCUCCCUUACACUGAGGAGUCGUCCGUGCAAAUCGGACCACCUUGA
rnacentral:tRNA from 1 species